GUGGCGUAAGUGGUUAGAGCUUCGGUCUCGGAUGCUGGAGGUUGUGGGUUCGAACCCCGGCCGACUCA